rnacentral:rRNA from 1 species
UACGGAGGAUGCGAGCGUUAUCCGGAUUUAAUGGGUUUAAAGGGUGCGCAGGCGGCGUGUCAAGUCAGCGGUAAAAUGUCGGGGCUCAACCCCGGCCGGCCGUUGAAACUGGCGUGCUCGAGUUGGAGAGAAGUAUGCGGAAUUCGUGGUGUAGCGGUGAAAUGCAUAGAUAUCACGAAGAACCCCGAUUGCGAAGGCAGCAUACCGGCUCCACACUGACGCUGAGGCACGAAAGCGUGGGUAUCGAACAGG